rnacentral:rRNA from 1 species
GACGAACGCUGGCGGCGUGCUUAACACAUGCAAGUCGAACGAUGAAGCCGGAGCUUGCUCUGGUGAAUUAGUGGCGAACGGGUGAGUAACACGUGAGUAACCUGCCCUUGACUCUGGGAUAACUGCUAGAAAUGGUAGCUAAUACCGGAUACGACCCUCGGCGGCAUCGCCAGGGGGUGGAAAGAAUUUCGGUCAAGGAGGGUAUCGCGGCCUAUCAGCUAGUUGGUGAGGUGACGGCGCACCAAGGCGACGACGGUUAGCCGGCCUGAGAGGGUGACCGGCCACACUGGGACUGAGACAGGGCCCAGACUCCUACGGGAGGCAGCAGUGGUGAAUAUUGCACAAUGGGCGCAAGCCUGAUGCAGCGAGGCCGCGUGAGGGAUGAAGGUCUUCGGAUUGUAAACCUCUUUCAGUAGGGACGAAGCGAAAGUGACGGUACCUAAAGAAGAAGCACCGGCUAACUACGUGCCAGCAGCCGCGGUAA